CAGGAUGUCUACUCCCUUCAAAGACAGAACAUCUGGGAGCCCCCCGCUUCCCGGCCGAGCGCCAAACGCCCGCAGCUAAGUAGAAGGUUGGCUCCUACAGACCUUGAUGGCCUUUGAUGGGGCCUUGAACACCUGAUUCUCCCCCCCCUUCCCAGGCACUGGGCCAGGAUAUCGUUUGAACUUGCCUAGAUGUGUUCUUGGAGUUAAUCGUCCCUGAAUCUGUUUGGCUUCCUUGCUUGGAUGAGACUUCAAUUAAGCCAAGUUGCAAUGAUGGAGUACCAGCUACUUAGGAAAAAUAAGUGAAUCCUGCUUUAAUGCAGCAGCUUGGGCCACAGAAGUUAGCAAGUGAAAUCCUUCACAGCACCAUCUCUACUGAUUCUGGCAGACCAAACAUGUUUAAAAGGCAUCGGGUGAAAGAUGGCUCCACAGCUGGAACCCCCUUGCAGUUCAAAGACUAUUUCUCCAUUUCCAUUUUCUGCAUCUUUUAAUGAAAAUAUCUGACUGACUCUUGUAAACAGCAUACCCUUUUGGGGGGAUUCAAAUGAUAGAAUGAAGCAAGUGAAAUCGUAUGGGCAAUACAGCUAUGAAGCAAAUUAGGGGUGUUUUCUCUUCAGGUGGACCCCAGGAACUCAUGAACAUUCCCUUGCAGGUUCCAGUGUGAAGGAUCCCAAAUCCUCACCCCCCUUUCCCUGAUAGACUCUGCUUUUGAUGAGCAACAAAGUGCAUAUCUGGAGAAAGGAAAGAUGAGGUAGUAUCUUCAGUGAUGGCAAAGGAACAUAAGUAGUCCUUGGUUCAGUAGCAGACUGAACCAUUGUUUCUGAUCUGAAGAUCACAGAGAGUUUUGGGUUGGGGACAUGCAAGUCAUAACAGAACCUGAGAGCUGUUGCCUUGGGUGCUAUCAAAGGAGAUCUUGAGGGAACACAAUGGCUUGGUAAAUAGGGACACUGUGGAAGAACAUGCCACUCACUCUGCUACCCUCCCUCCUUCAUACAAAGACUUAUGUGAGCUCCAUGGUGCGUAACAGAACAGUACGAAAUAGGCUGUGUUGGGCACUGCGAGCUGAGGGAGGCCUCAAGGUGGCCAGUUGUUUGGGGGUGGUUAUUGUCUCCUGCCAUAUCAGAUUCAACACAAGGGGCUGAAAUUUACCAAAGUGAUUCAUUCAUAUCUGGGAUUCCAAUUCAACAUUUCUUUUUAAAAAGGGAUACUUUGAAAAUAAGCACCUUAAAUAUUACCUGAUGCUGUCAUAAUUCAUUCAGAAGAAACAUCAUUACCAUUUUCUAACCAGGCCAACUCAAGUCCCUCAAGACAACUGGAGUCUACUUCUUUAACUGAAGUUGCACAACACAUUAAACAAAGCAAAAAUGAGGCUGGAUAAUUUGCAAUCCGGUGUUGUGGGAAGCCAAGCAUUUCUUAGCAUUUAUGUCAAUCAAACCAUCUAGUUAAGCCAUAAUAUGAUUGAUUCUUGGGGUGGGGGGUGGGGAAACUAUGUUAUAUGUACACAGUUCUUCACUUUGCUAAAACAGGAGCUGGGAUUAAUCUAUUAUGUGAAUUUAGCCUUUACAUGGGGGAACUACAAAUGGAUUUCCAAAGACAUAGCAAUAUUAAGUCUUUUCAAACAAACAGUGAGACUUUCGGCACCCAAACGCCUAACUAAUAGAAUUAUUUUAUCACAGAUGCUCUUGUGGAUUGAAAUGAGUUAUAGCUGAUGAAGCAGACUGAGAUCCACAAGGCUUUAGGUGACCAAAAAGAACCAAAUUUUUACUCUUUUAAGAUGCCACCUUCUGCUCUUCCUCCUCCCCUUUCUUGAAUUAUGCUGUUCUUCAUGCUUCAUUCUAUCCCAGCCCCUUGUCUAUUUCUAUUCCUAGAGUGUUGGGUUUUUGAUUGAUUGAUUAUGUGCCAUUAAGUCAUUAUCGACUCUUGGCGACCAAAGAUAGAUUUUCUCCAUGAU